AAAAGAUGAACUACCUUCCACGGUAGAACAUAAUGGCUUAUUGGAUAGGCUUGAAUUGGCCUGUGUUUCUUCAGGUACAUGAUGGCUGGGAGUAGAAAGGCUUGCAUUGGCCUGUGCUUCUUCAGGUACAUAUUGAGCUUGAAUAGGAAGGUCUACAUUCACAUGUGUUUCUUCAGCAACCUUUUGAUCUUGGAAAGGGAAGCUUCCAUUGACCUGUGUUUCUUCAGGUACAUAUUCAUCUUGAAUAGGAAGGUUUGCAUUGACUUGUAUUUCUUCAGCAACAUAUUCAUCUUGACUGGGAAGGCUUGUGCUGACCUGUGUUUCUUCAGGUACAUACCCAUCUUGGCUAGAAAGGUUUGCGCUGAUCUGUGUUUUUUCAGGCACACCCUCAUCCUGACCAGAAAGGUUUGCAUUAACCUGUGUUUCUUCAGGUACAUGCACAUCUGGACUGGAAUAAACAAAAUCAUGAGAUGAUAGUGCUGCCUGCUGUCGUAAGUCAACCAACU
rnacentral:lncRNA from 1 species